CCGAAUGGGGAAACCCAGUGUGAUUCGUCACACUAUCAUUAACUGAAUCCAUAGGUUAAUGAGGCGAACCGGGGGAACUGAAACAUCUAAGUACCCCGAGGAAAAGAAAUCAACCGAGAUUCCCCCAGUAGCGGCGAGCGAACGGGGAGGAGCCCAGAGCCUGAAUCAGCAUGUGUGUUAGUGGAAGCGUCUGGAAAGGYGCGCGAUACAGGGUGACAGCCCCGUACACAAAAGCGCAUGUGCUGUGAGCUCGAUGAGUAGGGCGGGACACGUGGUAUCCUGUCUGAAUAUGGGGGGACCAUCCUCCAAGGCUAAAUACUCCUGACUGACCGAUAGUGAACCAGUACCGUGAGGGAAAGGCGAAAAGAACCCCGGCGAGGGGAGUGAAA
rnacentral:rRNA from 1 species